rnacentral:rRNA from 1 species
UGACGUACUUGUACUGAUUGAGAUUUUAACACGAAGUGAGUGGCGAACGGGUGAGUAACACGUGGGUAACCUGCCCAGAAGUAGGGGAUAACACCUGGAAACAGAUGCUAAUACCGUAUAACAGAGAAAACCGCAUGGUUUUCUUUUAAAAGAUGGCUCUGCUAUCACUUCUGGAUGGACCCGCGGCGUAUUAGCUAGUUGGUGAGGUAAAGGCUCACCAAGGCAGUGAUACGUAGCCGACCUGAGAGGGUAAUCGGCCACAUUGGGACUGAGACACGGCCCAGACUCCUACGGGAGGCAGCAGUAGGGAAUCUUCCACAAUGGACGCAAGUCUGAUGGAGCAACGCCGCGUGAGUGAAGAAGGGUUUCGGCUCGUAAAGCUCUGUUGUUAAAGAAGAACGUGGGUAAGAGUAACUGUUUACCCAGUGACGGUAUUUAACCAGAAAGCCACGGCUAACUACGUGCCAGCAGCCGCGGUAAUACGUAGGUGGCAAGCGUUAUCCGGAUUUAUUGGGCGUAAAGCGAGCGCAGGCGGUCUUUUAAGUCUAAUGUGAAAGCCUUCGGCUCAACCGAAGAAGUGCAUUGNAAACUGGGAGACUUGAGUGCAGAAGAGGAC